GAUGAACGCUAGCGGCAGGCUUAAUACAUGCAAGUCAAGGGGGUAGCAAUACAACCGGCGCACGGGUGAGUAACGCGUACACAACAUACCAUAUACUGGAGUAUAGCUUUGGGAAACUGAAGGUAAUCCUCCAUAACAUUGCGAGAGGGCAUCUGAUUGCAAUUAAAGUUCCGGCGGUAUAUGAUUGGUGUGCGUUUGAUUAGCUAGUUGGUAGGGUAACGGCCUACCAAGGCGACGAUCAAUAGCUGGCGUGAGAGCGCGACCAGCCACACUGGAACUGAGACACGGUCCAGACUCCUACGGGAGGCAGCAGUAGGGAAUAUUGGACAAUGGGCGAAAGCCUGAUCCAGCCAUGCCGCGUGAUAGAUGAAGGCCCUCUGGGUUGUAGAUAUCUUUUAUCUGGGAAGAAACUCCUCUAUUCUUAGAGGCCUGACGGUACCAGAGGAAUAAGCACCGGCUAACUCCGUGCCAGCAGCCGCGGUAAAG
rnacentral:rRNA from 1 species